CAUCAUUCUUCCUUCGGCUGCUGGGGGUAACAGCAUAGGCUUGAAUGGAGCAGUUGCAUUUCCCUCACCAGAGAUUGGAACUGCUGAACUCACUAUCCUCUUCUCUUCUGGGCCAGGAAGGGCGAGUCUUGCACUGCAGGUGGGAGCUUUUGGUGUUUGAAAUAGCCUAGACAGAGCGGUUGUGCAGCUGAAAUCAAUCCAUACAUAUGCUCGAGCGACAGGGUAAACUGGUACAACUUAGGAUGUGCUUUAACAAGGAUUAUGUACUACCUAGUUUUCUUUUCCUUAUCUCAAAAAAAAAAAAAAAAAAAAAAAAACAAGGAUUAUGUAUGUGCAUUCCCAUAGUUUUCCUCCUCUUCCUAUUAUUAUUAUUAUUAUUAUUAUUAUUA